CGCAAACACAGAGGAAGGAGCUCUGUGCCUUGGUGACAGGCAGGCUUCUCAGAGGAGGGGUAUGCAGACUCACUAACAGAGAAGUCUUUGCCUCCUUUGUUCAUAGGCACUUACCUAGGAGCCAGCCAAAUGUCGCUAUUGUGACACAGAAGACAGAGAAAGGGAGCUGACAAAGAGAGGAGAGGUCACGCAAGGGGUGAUGCAGAGGUGGCUUAUUGGAGCAGGAGAUGUGUUCCUGAGCAGUCAACGUGUGACAGAAUCCUACCCGAAGGCACCAAGAAAGCUUCCUCUACGAAGAAACUCUUUAGAAUCUUGCCUAAGCUUAACGACACAUGAAAUGGCAAAAUGAAAGAGAAAUUCUUUUCCCUUCUAUCAAAAAGCAGAACCCCUCCCCGGAAGAGGUAACCCCCAGGCUUAAGUUAACGUGAGUAAAUUUAUCAGUUCCUGGGGGAGAGUAUUGAUGGUUCAUGGGGGUGUGGGGGCAGGCAGAUUCACUGUACCACUGGAUACUUAGAAAUCAGGAACGCUGAGAGAGAGGCGUGGUAAAAAGAAGGGAGGCUGAGACAGAAGAGGGGCGCAGGGCUACUGAGAACACUUACCUAUUUCUUAGCGUUAUGUGCAGCUGACCUCGGCCCGGGCCCUGAGGAAACAGGGCAUUGAGGGGAACGUAGGGGUGAGGAGAGACACGUAGACUUCCAACCUGGAAUCUGUCCAGA
rnacentral:lncRNA from 1 species